UGGAGUGUGCGUGUGGAGGUGUGUAAUUUGCAUUAUUAGGUACUUUGACAUCCCUACUCCACUGACCUAUAAACAGCUAGACUAGCUGCUAUAUAGUUUUGAAACACCAUGGCUAGACUUCCAAAACCAUGGUGUUAGUUGAUUGAUUGUUGUUUUUACAUUUGCUUCAUGUUUUAAAAACCCUCAUGCUAAUCUUAAAGGAGGAUUCCUAAGUUUUUCAAUGAUACCACAUUGUCAACAAAUGAAAGUCGUAUUUAUUUAGAAAAUUUACAGUAAAGUCAUAGGUACACAAAAUAUAAAAGGAAAUCAGCUAAUUAAGGCAAGUUUGGGUCCAUCCUGACGAUGUUAAAUGAAGUCACUCCAUGAUGCAGCGACAUGUGGCGCCAGACAUUAGUAAUUCUUGUGGAUAAUAUGAAGUAUAAAUGAUUUAUGCAUUGUUUAACAGCUUAUCUUUGAUCAACCUAGUGGAGAGAAUGCUAUCAAGGUGUUGUUUUACAUUAUAUUUAUAAAUAUUAUAAAGCUGAGGAAUUUUCUACCAAACGGCAUUCUAGAAAAAGGAUCGAAGUCAAUUUUCAAACUAUUGGAUUAGCUGUGAAUGAAUGUUAGCUACAUGUGAGAUGAAACAUUCAAAUUCAAAAUCAUAUAAUGGGGUAGCUGUGUUCCAAAUUUCAAGCUUUUAUCUAUUAUGGUUAUAAAGUUAUGAUGAGAUAAAGACGAAAAUUCAUUUUUUCGAUCACAGCUUUUUGGACAUUUUCUAUAGUCCAUUUUUCUACACAUAAAACGGCAUAACUUUGCUCCUAUAUAACAUAGAAAGAUAAAUGUGGUAUCAUUGUAACCCUCUCAGCAAGCUCUACAUAACUAAAUAGCUUCUGUUCA